rnacentral:lncRNA from 1 species
CUUAAACUAAAUGAAUUUUAUUGAUCUCGUUGUUGACAACAAUUAUGAAAGAAGCACACAACGAUAUGUAAGGAUAAAACCUUUGUAUAAAUAAGCAAUAAAAUUGGACGACAAGAGGGUCAAGGAAUUUAGAUUUUCCUUGUUAAAAUGCUAAUUAUUCAAAUAAUUUAUACUUGAUCCGAUCAUUUUCCCGAUCUCUGCUUUAAUAAUUCCAUGGCCAAUUAUCAAUGGGAAGUUAGUUCUUGACUGAUGCUGCAAAACAAAUGAAUAAAAAAUCAAAUUAACAAAAAAAAAAAAAACAUUAGUUGAAAGAAAUAAACAAUCAAUUUUUUUGAAUGAGUUUUCAUUCUAAAAUUUCGACUCUACGAUCCCUUCAAUUUCUAGCAUCAAAACUAUUAAAGUAAGGAAUGCGAAUCUUAUCAAACCACUAAUUUCAAGAAUAAAGAUUAAAUUUUGCCUUCCAACUAAAAUUUAUCUCACUUAAAAAAUUAAUUAUUGCCUUGAAGAAAACAAACAUUUCUGUUGAGAUUGAAGAAAAUACCAAUAGUCUUUUCCGUGCAAUCAUUGUUGCAUUUCUGAUGACAUGAAGCAUUGGCAUCGCCUUUUGCAUCACAUUCUUUCCUGCAUGUUAGUACACAUGAUUCCAUUUGAGGCCAUAGUUUCAUUCCUUCGGCGAUACUUUUGAUCUUUUCGGCCGCCUGAAGAUCUGGGCUCAUGUUAGCGGUCGUCUGUGCCUUGGAGAAUUGUAGUGAUCCCAUCACAACAAUGCACAUAAAGAAAACAACCAUAAUGUUUUUUGCCAUUUUUUAGUUUUAGCUUUCUGUAAGUCUAUUUUUUUUUUUUUUGUUAUGGGCUUU